GCGACCCCRGGUCAGGCGGGACUACCCGCUGAGUUUAAGCAUAUCAAUAAGCGGAGGAAAAGA
rnacentral:rRNA from 1 species